rnacentral:lncRNA from 1 species
CAUCCUGAUAUCAGCACUACAUUAAAUUUCUUGGGCAUCAUGAAUGAUUUUCUUAUCGACAUCUUUGAGCACAUCACCACCAAGGCUGGCUGCCAGGUUGCUACACUGAGUGCUCCACUAUCACCUCCAGAGAGAUCCAGACCACCCGAGCCUGAUGCUGUCUGGGGAUAUCCACAAACACGCUGUAUUGAAAACCAAAGGUGGUGGCUUGAAGAAUGAAGGUGUUUCGCUUCCAGGGAAAGGCGAAGGCUUGAAGGGGAGGGUCGUGCAGAAGCAUUUUCGGUGUGGAGGACAAGCCUGCGCAUCGCGGUUACCAUAGUAACCUGACGUCAUUUUGGCGACUGUGACAACCAUGACGACUUUUUAAUGGAGACCGACUUGGCCUGGGAGGCAGCAGGCAGCUGAAAUUCUGGCGUGCUGUGGCUGGAUAAUGCAUGAUCUGAGGACCCCUAUACUGAUGACUGUGGAUGGGGCCACAUUUUUUUCUGCAAAUAUAUUCAUAUACUGAGCAGUCAGGA